rfam:Ornithorhynchus anatinus chromosome 10, whole genome shotgun sequence.
CCCCUCUUAAUGUCGCACCUGGAGAGUUUCCAAUAGUCUACCGGUCUCGACUAUGGGAGGAAGAGUCAAGCAGAGGCCUACCCAUUCCAUUCCUAGCUUGGGCAGUGGCUAGCAAGUGGAAGGCAAUCUGCUACAAGU